AUGCGGAGCCUGGCACAGCAGAGGGGCUCCACUGCCAGAAGAAACAAUAGCCACUGUCCAGUGCUGCCCCUGCUGCUUAUACUGUCCUCAGAGCAGCCACCAGUGCUCAGGUUCAUCAAGUGCCAGGGAGCCCUGCCCGAGGACAUGGCGUGCAAGAUGUUCCACCAACUCUCCUUGGCCAUUAAGUACUGCCACAACCUGGACAUCGUGCACCAGAACCUCAAGUGUUAGAACUUCUCCUCGACAAGGAUUUCAACAUCAAGCUGUUCUACUUCAGGUUCUCCAAGCUCUGCCUGCGGGAUGACAAUAGCCAACAGAGAUUAAGCAAGACCUUCUGUGGGACGGCGGCAUAUGCAGCCCCCGAGGUGCUGCAGGGCAUCGCCUACCAGCCCAAGGUGUACGACAUCUGGAGCCUGGGCGUGAUCCUCUACAUCAUGGUCUGCAGCUCCAUGCCCUAGGACGACUCCAACAUCAGGAAGAUGCUGUGUACCCAGAAGGAGCACCACAUGGACUUCCCACACUCCAAGAACCUGAUACAUGAGUGCAAGGACCUCAUCUAGUGCGUGCUGCAGCCCAACAUCAGCCAGCAGCUCCACAUCCAUGACAUUCUCAGCCAAUGCUGGGUGCAGCCCAAGGCACAAGGACUGCCCUCUAUGGUCAUCAACAAGGAGGAGGAAAGCUCCCGGGGAACUGAACUCUUGUGGAUCCCUGAACCUGGCUCUGCCAAGAGGUCUGCCACCAAGCUAGAAUCUGGGGAAGAGGCACAGCCCAAGGGACAACCUGAGACAAAACCUGAGGGGUUGGCAAUGCAAAUGUCCAGGCAGUCAGACAUCCUAGGCUUCCCUAGCAAGCUGUCGACCAGGGAGAAAGAGCAAGGGCCCCACCAAAGGCCUCCAGAGAUUCGCAUCUAGUGAGCCAUUUGUGGCCCAGUAUGCCAGCAGUGAAUGAGAUGGAGCUCACACCUUCAGGCCCAAGCUCUGAAGAAGUCAAGGCACAAACCAGAGAAGGAAGACAGUCCCGGAUGAGCCGCUGUUUUCAUCAGUUUCUUCUCUCUCCCGUUGAACUUCAUAACCACAUUGCUAAAGGAGCAAUAAAUCACUAUAUUAAUGCAGAUGCCAAAGUGAACGUCUUUGCCUCAACUGACUAGUCCUGGGCUCCCCUCCACGGGUUUCCCACUCAGAUUGUGCUAUGAUUCCUUCUUCACUUGGGAAAACACAUCCCAGCGUGCCCAGCCAGACCGUGACCUCAGGCCCGUGCUGGGGCUGGGGCUGGGAGAGACCUGGAGGGGCAGGGGCCAGAGCUGAGAGGUGAAUGAGGAAGCUGCUGCCUCAGAAGGGACGCCCCCAAGUGCGGUGCUGGGGUCAGGAAAGGACAGGGAGAGGACAGGACCAAGAAGUGUGCCGAGGCACCCCUGCAGAGGAGCGCAGGCUCUGUGUACAGUUGGGACUGAGGGUCUGGGCAGACCUGCCCUCUGCAGCCCCACAAGGCUGCCAGUGGGGGUUGCAGGAGGCUACAGAGGACAGGUGGCCAGCCUCUCAGCCACUCCUGAGCUCCCUACCUGCUGGGCAACUUGUUCAUUGUGCUCUGUCCACCAUAGGCCUCCUGUGUCCAGCCAGCACCCAGCUUUCAACAGUGCCGGGGUCACCCCACCCUGUGGUCAUUCUCCAGCCCAGGAGAAGUAGGAGGCUUUGCUGGAUGGCCCAGCCACACUCCAGCCUGAGCAUGUCCCACAGUCUUGUGUGGUCUUGACCAUAUCUUGUCCCCAUCCCAGCCUGUCCCCAGGGAUGACACCCCUGCCAGCACUAGAAGUUGACACUGGCAAGUAGGAUAGGCCAGGCAACCACAAUGCAUGCCUGGCCUGAGGACAGGGAAUGCUGAC